AUGGCCAGGGGCAGCAGUGGCAGUGACAGUGGUGGAGGCGGAGGUGCGGUCCCAGAGCAGGAGGACUCGGUGCUGUUCUGGCGAGGUACAGGCCAGAGUGAAGAUUCUGACAUUUGGGAUAAUAUGGCAUUGAUAAAAGCUUAUGCUAAAGCUGUGGCUUCAUUUAAGCAUGCUCUAAAGAAUGGUGACAUUUGUGAAACCUCAGAUAAACCAAAAGGCACACCUAGAAGAAAACCUGCUAAGAAGAAUAAAAGCCAAAAAAAGAACACUGCAACACCCUUGAAACAGUGGAACAAUGAAAAUGAAAGUCAAGUUUCAACAGAUGAAAGUGAGAACUCCAGGUUUCCUGGAAAUGAAUCAAAUAACAUCAAGUCAAAAACUACUCCAUGGAACUCUUUUCUCCCUCCGCUUCCCCCCAUGCCAGGAUCAGGACUGGGACUAGGAAAGGCAGGUUUAAAAUUCAAUGGCCCGCCGCCACCACUGCCGCUACUACCACCCCACUGUCAAGCUGGCUGCCUGCAUUUCCUUCUACACCACCAAUUAUUCCCCCACCACCUCGCAUAUGUCCAGAUUCCCUUGAUGAUACUGAUGUUUUGGGAAGUAUGUUAAUCUCUUGGUACAUGAGUGGCUAUCAUACUGGCUAUUAUAUGGGUUUUAGACAAAAUCAAAAAGAAGGACGGUAUUCACAUUCCAGUUAAGGAGAAAUACUGAGGAUAGAGCAACAAGUUAAAUGGCACCACUAAAGAAAUGAUCAGACAGGUCCAGAAUGUGGAAUGCUAUAGAAGAUAAGGGCCUCGUUUCUUCAAAAUAUCAAAGUUGGGAAGGAAAAAAGGUGCGAAUGG